rnacentral:rRNA from 1 species
AAUGGGGGCAACCCUGAUCCAGCAAUGCCGCGUGUGUGAUGAAGGCCUUAGGGUUGUAAAGCACUUUCACUGGCGAAGAUGAUGACGGUAACCAGAGAAGAAGCCCCGGCUAACUUCGUGCCAGCAGCCGCGGUAAUACGAAGGGGGCGAGCGUUGUUCGGAAUUACUGGGCGUAAAGGGCGCGUAGGCGGUCUUUUAAGUUAGGCGUGAAAGCCCCGGGCUCAACCUGGGAACUGCGCUUAAAACUGGAAGACUAGAAAACGGAAGAGGGUAGUGGAAUUCCCAGUGUAGAGGUGAAAUUCGUAGAUAUUGGGAAGAACACCAGUGGCGAAAGCGGCUACCUGGUCCGAUUUUGACGCUGAGGCGCGAAAGCGUGGGGAGCAAACAGGAUU